UACGUAUGGGGCGAGCGUUAUCCGGAUUCAUUGGGCGUAAAGCGCGCGCAGGCGGGCUGCUAAGCGGGACCUCUAAUCUCGGGGCUCAACCCCGAGCCGGGUUCCGAACUGGCAGCCUCGGGUUCGGUAGGGGUAGGCGGAAUUCCCGGUGUAGCGGUGGAAUGCGCAGAUAUCGGGAAGAACACCGAUGGCGAAGGCAGCCUACUGGGCCGCAACCGACGCUGAGGCGCGAAAGCUGGGGGAGCGAACAG
rnacentral:rRNA from 1 species